rnacentral:lncRNA from 1 species
GAUCCUAUAGAACACAGACAAAAAAAGGAAGAGAGAAGAGAGUUAUCUCAUGUCAUUUGCAGGUAGCUGUUGCUUUAGAGAAAGUUGCACUAUCCGAUGAGUAUUUUGUCAAGAGAAAGCUGUAUCCAAAUGUUGAUUUCUACUCUGGGUUCAGAUAUAGCUUUGCAGGUCCUUAUCACACCGCACACAUCAUGGCAAGUCAAUCCAAACAAUUGAUGAGUCCAGAGAAGUUGGAGGCUGUUGAGAAAAAAAACCAUCUCGAAAUUAAACAUCUUCGAUCCAGCUGUAUAUGAGCAAGAAGAGGGAGCAAAAGGAUGUUGGGGAUUGUGUACUUUUGAAGUACCCAUAUGA